rnacentral:tRNA from 1 species
UGUUCCUUAGCUCAGAUGGUUAGAGUACACGACUGAUAAUCGUGAGGUCCUGGGUUCGAUUCCCAGAGGGACAACCA